rnacentral:rRNA from 1 species
GUUGAACGCUGGCGGCAGGCCUAACACAUGCAAGUCGAACGGUAACAGGAAGAAGCUUGCUUCUUUGCUGUCGCGUGGCGGACGGGUGAGUAAUGUCUGGGACACUGCCUGAUGGAGGGGGAUAACUACUGGAAACGGUAGCUAAUACCGCAUAACGUCGCAAGACCAAGGAGGGGGACCUUCAGGCCUCUUGCCAUCGGAUGUGCCCAGAUGGGAUUAGCUAGUAGGUGGGGUAACGGCUUACCUAGUCAACGAUCCCUAGCUGGUCUGAGAGGAUGACCAGCCACACUGGAACUGAGACACGGUCCAGACUCCUACGGGAGGCAGCAGUGGGGAAUAUUGCACAAUGGGCGCAAGCCUGAUGCAGCCAUGCCGCGUGUAUGAAGAAGGCCUUCGGGUUGUAAAGUUCUUUCAGCGGGGAGGAAGGGAUUAAAGUGAAUACCUGUGCUCAUUGACGUUACCCGCAGAAGAAGCACCGGCUAACUCCGUG